rnacentral:rRNA from 1 species
GAUGAACGCUGACAGAAUGCUUAACACAUGCAAGUCAACUUGAAUUUGGGUUUUUUAACUUAGAUUUGGGUGGCGGACGGGUGAGUAACGCGUAAAGAACUUGCCUCACAGCUAGGGACAACAUUUGGAAACGAAUGCUAAUACCUGAUAUUAUGAUUAUAAGGCAUCUUAGAAUUAUGAAAGCUAUAUGCGCUGUGAGAGAGCUUUGCGUCCCAUUAGCUAGUUGGAGAGGUAACGGCUCACCAAGGCGAUGAUGGGUAGCCGGCCUGAGAGGGUGAACGGCCACAAGGGGACUGAGACACGGCCCUUACUCCUACGGGAGGCAGCAGUGGGGAAUAUUGGACAAUGGACCAAGAGUCUGAUCCAGCAAUUCUGUGUGCACGAUGACGUUUUUCGGAAUGUAAAGUGCUUUCAGUUGGGAAGAAAAAAAUGACGGUACCAACAGAAGAAGUGACGGCUGAAUACGUG